UACGUAGGUGGCAAGCGUUGUCCGGAUUUAUUGGGUUUAAAGGGUGCGUAGGCGGCUUUGUAAGUCAGUGGUGAAAUACGGUAGCUUUAACUAUCGAGGUGCCAUUGAUACUGCAGAGCUUGAGUACAGAUGAGGUAGGCGGAAUUGACGGUGUAGCGGUGAAAUGCUUAGAUAUCGUCAAGAACACCUAUAGCGAAGGCAGCUUACUAGGCUGUAACUGACGCUGAGGCACGAAAAGUGUGGGGAUCAAACAGG
rnacentral:rRNA from 1 species